rnacentral:lncRNA from 1 species
GAAGGACACGUCUCUUAUCGAGCACAAGAUCUGUGAACUGCUCACUGAAUUUCCUUUCAGUUAGUUCUCUAGGUAUGGGGAGUCAUCUAUCCCCUGUGUACAACUUUGAACUCACAUUUUUGUGUCACUCGGCGUCAUAGAAUCAAUACAAGGCACGGAAGUCUGUAAUAAACGACAGUUACAUGAUAUUGCGUGAUUUUUUUUUUCAGACUUUUGAAAUCACUGCGGGACGUACCCUCAAGCAAGGGCACACGGAACCCUCUUCCUCAGGUUGGGAAGGUUUUGAAAAAAAGACCCGGGACCUCUGGCAGCGGGAAUCCAGUGACAAAGGCAGUAAAGACAACAGUGUGGGCCUGAACCCCGGCUCUGACACCUACAAAGGGCCCACCAUGGGUGCUGACAGCUUCAUGAUGGGAGAGGAGAGCCCCUAGUCACUCAGCUGCCGUGGCAGGAGAGGAAAACUUAAUGGGCUGAAGAAAGCAAGGAUGCAGUCUGGCUUUGGCUUCUCAGCACGGCCACACGAACAUCUGAGUGUCCACCCCGAACUGUGGUCAGUGAGAAGGUACCAAGUUUCCAUUUUGUCUAAAGGUCAAAAGUGACCCUUGGGGCACCUGGGUGGCUCAGUCGGUUAAGCGUCUGAGUUCAGCUUGGGUCAUGAUCCCACGUCGGGCUCUGUGCUGACAGCUCAGAGCCUGGAGCCUGCUUCAGAUUCUGUGUCUCCCUCUCUCUCUGGCCUCCCCUGCUCAUGCUCUGUCUGUCUCUCUCUCUCUCUCAAAAAUAAAUAAACGUUAAAAAAAAAAGUGACCCUUAAA